rnacentral:rRNA from 1 species
GAUGAACGCUGGCGGCGUGCCUAAUACAUGCAAGUCGAGCGAACGGACGAGAAGCUUGCUUCUCUGAUGUUAGCGGCGGACGGGUGAGUAACACGUGGAUAACCUACCUAUAAGACUGGGAUAACUUCGGGAAACCGGAGCUAAUACCGGAUAAUAUUUUGAACCGCAUGGUUCAAAAGUGAAAGACGGUCUUGCUGUCACUGAUAGAUGGAUCCGCGCUGCAUUAGCUAGUUGGUAAGGUAACGGCUUACCAAGGCAACGAUGCAUAGCCGACCUGAGAGGGUGAUCGGCCACACUGGAACUGAGACACGGUCCAGACUCCUACGGGAGGCAGCAGUAGGGAAUCUUCCGCAAUGGGCGAAAGCCUGACGGAGCAACGCCGCGUGAGUGAUGAAGGUCUUCGGAUCGUAAAACUCUGUUAUUAGGGAAGAACAUAAGUGUAAGUAACUGUGCACAUCUUGACGGUACCUAAUCAGAAAGCCACGGCUAACUACGUG